GAGAUGUUGGUGCCAGCACCAUCCAGGGUGUGUGACUGGUUGACCAGAGGGCGUGCGCUGUGUUCACCCUGUGGGCCACCUAGUCACCAACCCUCAGCAUCAACCCCACCCCAGGAAGAC
rnacentral:pre_miRNA from 14 species